UUGAAAACUUCCUUUACUGAUAAGAAGAAGGGAAUGAGAAGAACUUUUUAACCAAUUUGGAGGCAUGAUAUCAAUGACUAAUGGCUUCUGGCAGAGAAAUGUAUUCCUUUACAGACAGGUAAUCAUCCCUAUAGAUAAAUGAGAGUAAAAAAAGGCUUUAUGGCUUAAGUUUCAUUCUUCAAAGUAACUGAAAAUAAAAAUGUUUAUACUCUAUUCUGAUAGGGUAGGGAUUAAAG